rnacentral:ncRNA from 1 species
UAUCGACUGACCUAGCAGACAAGCCAAGACGAUAGGGUUAAUUUUAUGGAGAAUAAAAUAUG